rnacentral:rRNA from 1 species
UACAGAGGGUGCGAGCGUUGUCCGGAAUCACUGGGCGUAAAGGGCGCGUAGGCGGGCGAUCAAGCGUGCGGUGAAAGCUCGGGGCUCAACUCCGAGUCGGCCGUGCGAACUGGUUGUCUAGAGUCUGGUAGAGGUCGAUGGAAUUCCGGGUGUAGCGGUGGAAUGCGUAGAGAUCCGGAAGAACACCGGUGGCGAAGGCGGCAUCCUGGACCGGUAUUGACGCUGAGACGCGAAAGCGUGGGGAGCAAACAGG